rnacentral:rRNA from 1 species
ACGGGAGGCAGCAGUGAGGAAUAUUGGUCAAUGGGCGAGAGCCUGAACCAGCCAAGUCGCGUGAAGGAUGAAGGUUCUAUGGAUUGUAAACUUCUUUUGUUCGAGGGUAAAGUGAGGGAUGCGUCCCUUAUUGCAAGUAUCGAACGAAUAAGCAUCGGCUAACUCCGUGCCAGCAGCCGCGGUAAUACGGAGGAUGCGAGCGUUAUCCGGAUUUAUUGGGUUUAAAGGGAGCGUAGGCCGUGCUUUAAGCGUGUUGUGAAAUGUAGGCGCCCAACGUCUGCACUGCAGCGCGAACUGGAGCACUUGAGUACGCAGGAAGUAGGCGGAAUUCGUCGUGUAGCGGUGAAAUGCUUAGAUAUGACGAAGAACUCCGAUUGGGAAGCCAGCUUACUGUAGCGCCACUGACGCUGAUGCUCGAAAGCGUGGGUAUCGAACAGGAUUAGAUACCCUGGUA